AAAAACACCGGGAAUGGGGAAAAAUCCAUGGAAAAACACCGGGAAUGGGGAAAAAUCCAUGGGAAACCACCGGGAAUGGGGAGGAUCCGGGGGAAAAACACCGGGAAUGGGGAAAAAUCCAUGGGAAAUGGGGAGAAAACACCGGGAAUGGGGAGGAUCCGGGGGGAAAACACCGGGAAUGGGGAGAAAUCCAUGGGAAAUGGGGAAAAAUCCAUGGGAAUGGGGAAAAAUCCAUGGAAAAAACACCGGGAAUGGGGAAAAAUCCAUGGGAAAUGGGGAAAAACACUGGGAAUGGGGAGGAUCCGGGGGGAAACACCGGGAAUGGGGAAAAAUCCGGGGAAAAAACACCGGGAAUGGGGAAAAAUCCAUGGAAAAAACACCGGGAAUGGGGAAAAACCCAUGGGAAUGGGGAGGAUCUGGGGGAAAAUCCAUGGGAAUGGGGAAAAACCCAUGGGAAUGGGGAGGAUUUGGGGAAAAAACACCGGGAAUGGGGAAAAAUCCAUGGGAAAUGGGGAAAAACCACCGGGAAUGGGGAGGAUUUGGGGAAAAAUCCAUGGGAAAUGGGGAAAAAUCCAUGGGAAUGGGGAGGAUUUGGGGGAAAAUCCAUGGGAAUGGGGAGGAUCUGGGGGAAAAAACAACGGGAAUGGGGAAAAAUCCAUGGGAAAAACCCUCGGGGAAGCCGUCCUGCCGCUCCCAGGGAUCCCCAAAAUCCCGGGAAUCUCCUUCCCCAAAUUCCCAGGUUUUUUCCCCCAAAAUCCCAGGAAUCUCCUUCCCCAAAAUCCCAGGUUUUUCCCCAAAAUCCCAGGCUUUUUCCCCAAAAUCCCAGGUUUUUUCCCCAAAAUCUCAGGUUUUUUCCCCAAAAUCCCAGGAUUUUCCCCACAUUCCCGGGGUUUUUCCGGCACCGUCCACGCGGAUGGACAGCAGCCCGUAACCGGGACCCCGCGCCGCUGCCGGGAGAACACCGUGGGACAAUCCAUGGGAAAAACCCUCGGGGAAGCCGUCCUGCUGCUCCCAGGGAUCCCCAAAAUCCCAGGGAUCCCCAAAAUCCCAGGGAUCGCCAUCCCCAAAAUCCCAGGUUUUUUCCCCAAAAUCCCAGGAUUUUUCCUCAAAAUCUCACGUUUUUUUUCCCCAAAAUUAAAGGUUUUUUUCCCCAAAAUCCCAGGAUUUUUCCUCAAAAUCUCACGGUUUUUUUUCCCAAAAUUAAAGGUUUUUUUCCCUAAAAUCCCAGUGUUUUUCCUCAAAAUCCCAGGGAUGUCUUUCCCUAAAAUCCCAGGAAUCUCCUUCCUCAAAAUCCCGGGUUUUUUCCCCAAAAUCCCAGGUUUUUUCCCCAAAUUCCCAGAAUUUUCCCCAAAAUCCCAGGUUUUUCCCCAAAAUCCCAGGUUUUUCCCCAAAAUCCCAGGUUUUUUCCCCAAAAUCCCAGGUUUUUUCCCCAAAAUCCCAGGUUUUUCCCCCAAAAUUCCCGGUUUUUUCCCCAAAAUCCCAGGGUUUUUCCCCAAAAUCCCAGUUUUUUCCCCCAAAUUCCCAGAAUUUUCCCCAAAAUCCCAGG
rnacentral:lncRNA from 1 species